rnacentral:rRNA from 1 species
UACGUAGGGUGCAAGCGUUGUCCGGAAUUAUUGGGCGUAAAGAGCUCGUAGGCGGUCUGUUGCGUCGGCUGUGAAAACCCGGGGCUCAACCCCGGGCCUGCAGCCGAUACGGGCAGACUAGAGUUCGGCAGGGGAGACUGGAAUUUACGGUGUAGCGGUGAAAUGCGUAGAUAUCGUAAGGAAGACCAGUGGCGAAGGCGGGUCUCUGGACAGUUCCUGACGCUGAGGCACGAAGGUCAGGGGAGCAAACGGG